rfam:Hordeum vulgare subsp. vulgare, WGS project CAJW01000000 data, contig: morex_contig_2003324
CUUAUACUCUUUCCGUCCGGAAAUACUUGUUCUAGAAAUAGAUGUAUCUAGACUUAUUUUAAUUAAUAGAUAUACAUCUAUUUCUAGGACAAGUAUUUUCGAACGGAGGGAGUAUUUA